GACGAACGCUGGCGGCGUGCCUAAUACAUGCAAGUCGAACGGAAAGGCCCUGCUCUUGCGGCGUGCACGAGUGCCGAACGGGUGAGUAAAACGCGAGUAACCCGUCCCUGUCUUAGGGAUAACACUAGGAAACAGGGGCGCAUAUCGGAUAGGAGCUCUUGCUGCAUAGUGGGGGUUGGAAAGUUUCGGCGGUGGGGGAUGUACUCGCGGCUUAUCGGCUUGAUGGUGGGGUAGUGGUUGUCCAAGGCUGUGACGGGUAGCCGGCCUGAGAGGGUGACCGGCCUCAUUGGUACUGAGGUACGGACCAGAAUCGUACGGGCCGCAACGGUGGGGAAUAUUGCACAAUGAGCGGAAGCCUGAUGCGGCAGCGCCGCGUGCGGGAUAACGUGCUUCGGGGUGAAAACCAAUUUGGCAUGUAACGAAGCCUGAGUGACGGUAAUGGGUAAAGAAGCACCGGCUAACUACGUG
rnacentral:rRNA from 1 species